CCGGGAUGGGCGACUGCAAGCUGGGGUCUCCGGCUGUCUGGGAUGACCUCUCAGCUGCGGCCCGAGUGGUCCAGAGGCCGUCUCUUUGGCUAAAACAGGUCCAUGAUUAACCGAAAAAUGUUCACAAGCAUAGAAGGGAGAAAUUCUGGGACAUGGAGGGGUCACGUGCUCUACUCCUGAUGUCUUCCCAGUGGACCUUCCUGCACCCCACCUGCUGUGUCUGGCAGGCAUUUCCAGAAGAGCAGAACCCCCCAGACUAUUCCACAUCUUUGUGCCCAUUUUUCACUCUCUUCUGGCUGUACCUCAAACGAUAUCCAAUAGAUACGACUUUUCACUGUUCCCCGCUUCAGCUUCAACAAAGGUGGUCGAGGGGGUUGACCAACAUUUUGUUUGCUUAGCAUUAAUUCAUCAAACUGUGAUGCUAUUUUUAAUUUUAAUUUCUUUUUUAAAAAAUCUAUGACUGAUUCGGAGGAUGGAAAGCAAUGGGUCUAGUGGCUCUGCUCCACAAGGUUGUAUUAAGGACAAGGGUUAAAAAAAAAAUUUUUAUGACUCUCAUAUUCAAGAGUAAGGAGACGGGUUUUUGGUGUGCCCUCCAAACAGAUGGAGGGAGUGUUGGCCUGCCGACACCUAGAUUUUGGCCCAGUGAAACUGAUUUAGGACUUCUGACCUACAGCACUUGUAAGAGAAUAAAUUUGUGUUGCCGUAAGCCAGUAAGUUUGUUGUAAUUUUUUGUAGUAGUUACAGAAAACUAAUGCAAUGAGAUUUACCAUUUCCUGAUAUUCUUUAAGAAAUGCUUCUCAAACUUUAAGAUACAUAGAAAUCACGUGAGGGUUUUGUUAAACUUAAUUCUGAUUCAGUAUGUCUGGGUGGAGCCCGAGUCCUCAUUUCCAUACAGACUCCCAGGUGAUGCUGCAACUGCUAGUCCAAGGGCUAUACUAGGCAGCGAGGCUUGAAAGCAUAGAUGACUUGCUCUGUUUUCCAAAUCUCGGUAUGGAGAAAGCAGAACCAGUGGUGGAGCGUGCUGGAGGCUCUGGAGUUAACUUGCUGGGGGAAAAGAAAUCCUAUCACUUAACAGUUUGCAACUUUAGGCAAACUACUUAAUUUGCUUAAAUUCUUUAGGCAAUUAUUUAAGUUCAGUUUUUUCACCAAUAAAAUGAUGAUAUUAACAACACCGCAAUAUGUUUUUGUCAAGUGAGAUGGUUAUACAGGAAUUCAUGUUCCAAUCCUUGGAAAUGCACAUUGUCUACCUGAUGUUGGCCACCAGGGACUUUUGGUGUGCCAACUGUGAACAGUUUGUAUUCAUUCAUUCAUUCAUUCAUUUAUUUUUAAACUCUUAUUUGUUUAUUGACAAGAAAGUACCAGGCUCGUAAGUAUUCCUCGCUUUGGGGAUGUUGAUCAAUCAGACAGAUUCUGCCUUCAAGGAGUUUGCAGGUAAUUCACACGUAUAUAAAUGGGACAAUUUUGGCUAAUGCUUUUUAAAUUUCGAAGGAUCUAUGGGAUACAUUAUUAAGUGAACAAAAGGAAGUUCCAGCACAACGAUUUGUAUAGUGUGAUCACUUUUUUAUAUGAAAUUAACUAUAUAUAUAUUGUACAUAGAUAGAUAUGUGGAAGGAUAGGCGUGCUGUUACCUCUGGGGAAGGUGAUGCGAGGGUUUCGGUGAGAUUGGGGAAUACAGACAGGUGGGAAGGGGCUUUCACAUUUUCCUUUGUAUAGUUCUCUAUUGCAAUACUUCUCAAACUGCCAAUGGUGAAGGAACAAUUCUUCCAACAUGGUUUGGAAUGAUACUUUUGUAAAAUCCAAUAAAGAUGUAUUACUAGUAAAAUGAAAUUUUAAAAAACA